CAGACACUGCAUUUUGAUACAAGUUGAGCUUCUCAUGUCAUUUCAGAAAUCUUAAGGUGCAACACCUGGGCAGACCUGCAAACCAGACACAAACAGGACAUGAUUGUGCAAACAUGAUUGUGCCAAGGACAAUGGCAGUCCCAUGGCCAGGCAGGAGGAGACAGCAGAUGAUUCAAGGGGAUACAGACAAGAGCCUACAAGCAUUUGCUUGUUGCCUUUGGGGGACUUGU